rnacentral:rRNA from 1 species
GACGAACGCUGGCGGCGUGCCUAAUACAUGCAAGUCGAACGCUUCUUUCCUCCCGAGUGCUUGCACUCAAUUGGAAAGAGGAGUGGCGGACGGGUGAGUAACACGUGGGUAACCUACCCAUCAGAGGGGGAUAACACUUGGAAACAGGUGCUAAUACCGCAUAACAGUUUAUGCCGCAUGGCAUAAGAGUGAAAGGCGCUUUCGGGUGUCGCUGAUGGAUGGACCCGCGGUGCAUUAGCUAGUUGGUGAGGUAACGGCUCACCAAGGCCACGAUGCAUAGCCGACCUGAGAGGGUGAUCGGCCACACUGGGACUGAGACACGGCCCAGACUCCUACGGGAGGCAGCAGUAGGGAAUCUUCGGCAAUGGACGAAAGUCUGACCGAGGAACGCCGCGUGAGUGAAGAAGGUUUUCGGAUCGUAAAACUCUGUUGUUAGAGAAGAACAAGGACGUUAGUAACUGAACGUCCCCUGACGGUAUCUAACCAGAAAGCCACGGCUAACUACGUG